rnacentral:rRNA from 1 species
UGGGGAAUUUUGGACAAUGGGCGCAAGCCUGAUCCAGCCAUGCCGCGUGCGGGAAGAAGGCCUUCGGGUUGUAAACCGCUUUUGUCAGGGAAGAAAUCUUCUGAGUUAAUACCUCGGGAGGAUGACGGUACCUGAAGAAUAAGCACCGGCUAACUACGUGCCAGCAGCCGCGGUAAUACGUAGGGUGCAAGCGUUAAUCGGAAUACUGGGCGUAAAGCGUGCGCAGGCGGUUUUGUAAGACAGAGGUGAAAUCCCCGGGCUCAACCUGGGAACUGCCUUUGUGACUGCAAGGCUUGAGUGCGGCAGAGGGGGGAUGGAAUUCCGCGUGUAGCAGUGAAAUGCGUAGAUAUGCGGAGGAACACCGAUGGCGAAGGCAAUCCCCUGGGCCUGCACUGACGCUCAUGCACGAAAGCGUGGGGAGCAAACAGGAUUAGAUCCCUGGUAGUCCACGCCCUAAACGAUGUCAACUGGGUUGUUGGGAAGGUUCCUUCUCAGUAACGUAGCUAACGCGUGAAGUUGACCGCCUGGGGAGUACGGCCGCAAGGUUGAAAC